rnacentral:rRNA from 1 species
GACGAACGCUGGCGGCGUGCCUAAUACAUGCAAGUCGAGCGGACAGAAGGGAGCUUGCUCCCGGAAGUUAGCGGCGGACGGGUGAGUAACACGUGGGCAACCUACCCUGUAGAUCGGGAUAACAUCGAGAAAUCGGUGCUAAUACCGAAUAAUCAUUUGAAGUGCAUGCUUCGAAUGUAAAAGAUUGCUCCGGCUAUCACUACGGGAUGGGCCCGCGGCGAAUUAGCUAGUUGGUAAGGUAAUGGCUUACCAAGGAAACGCUGCGUAGCCGACCUGAGAGGGUGAUCGGCCACACUGGGACUGAGACACGGCCCAGACUCCUACGGGAGGCAGCAGUAGGGAAUCUUCCGCAAUGGACGAAAGUCUGACGGAGCAACGCCGCGUGAGUGAUGAAGGUUUUCGGAUCGUAAAGCUCUGUUGUUAGGGAAGAACAAGUGCCGUUUGAAUAAGGCGGCACCUUGACGGUACCUAGCCAGAAAGCCACGGCUAACUACGUGCCAGCCGCCGCCGUAACAC